CAGUCGCCACGGGAACACGGAGGGAGCUAGCGUUGUUCGGAAUUACUGGGCGUAAAGCGCACGUAGGCGGUUAUUCAAGUCAGAGGUGAAAGCCCGGGGCUCAACCCCGGAACUGCCUUUGAAACUAGAUGACUGGAAUCUUGGAGAGGUCAGUGGAAUUCCGAGUGUAGAGGUGAAAUUUGUAGAUAUUCGGAAGAACACCAGUGGCGAAGGCGACUGACUGGACAAGUAUUGACGCUGAGGUGCGAAAGCGUGGGGAGCAAACAGGAUUAGAUACCCCGGUAGUCCCUGUCUCUUAUAC
rnacentral:rRNA from 1 species